CGCUCUCCACCGGCAGGUCUUUA
rnacentral:miRNA from 1 species